rnacentral:lncRNA from 1 species
GUUUCAUUUUUUUCACAUAAAAAUUCGCCAGAUUGGUUACGUUGCCUUUGAGACCCUAUGGUAGCCCAAGAAUGAAAAUUACCCCUAUGAUGGCAUACCAUUUACAAUAGUAGACAACCCAAGGUAUUGCAAACAGGGUAUGUCCAGUCUUUUUUUAGUAGCCACUUAGUCACAAACACUGGCCAAAAUUGGCGUUUUUUGCAUUUUUC